UUCUUGCAGCCUUGUAAAGUAACUCCUUGCACAUGCUGUUGCUGGUGGGUUCCUCAAGGCUGCAGAAAUUAAACCAAGGAAUGAAAAGGCGUGACUACUGGAGACUCGGGAGCUCCACGUGCGAUGUUCCUCGAACAGACCCCUGCUUCCCACGGUGGUGAUGGGCUUUUAACUGUAGCCAUGACCUUUCUUGAGGCAGGCAGAACAAAGGUCAACAGCUGGAUAUUGUCUGGAUCAGGGGAAGCGAUUCCUGUCAGACACUGUUGGCUGUCACAAAA